UCAGUUGUUUACUCCGGGUCUCUGUACGGAUACGAGUACGAAAUCGACAUGAAAUUCAUCCUAGUUCUUGCUAUGCUUAUGGCUGUCGCCUAUGCCAACGAUGACUUAACAAACCAGUUGCUGGAACUACAGAAAGCCAUCGACAUCGAUCCGGAACAGGCCCAUGGAUGGUUCAGUAACGUUGUUGGUUUUGUGACGAAGAACGCUGGAGCCAUCGGAAGUAUUGCCAAAGGCGUCAUUGCAAUCGCGGGCUAAGCAACGGAUCUAACGGAUGUCUAAAUAGGUUAUUAUCCAGCAAACGAGUUUAAAAUUGUGCAAAAUAAAUUUUAUUUGUAUGAUAAAAUGCAA